UAUGCCUGUUUGGGGAUGAAUUUCAGUUUCAUGCUUGCCUCAGUGCUUGCUCUAUGCUCUAAGGCCGUUCUAAUGCUGCUGUGGCUAGAAUAACUGCAGUGCAGUGUUAGCAGCCACAGGAAAGCAGAGCUGUGGUUGCUGCUGCCCUUUGCUGUCUAUGGGAAGUAGAAGCUUCUAACCAAUGGAGUUGCAACUCAGCUGAGAAGAGUGUUAAAGGAGCUACUCCUCAUGUAUGCUGUGCGAAGCAACUCAGCCAGUAUGCAUACCCAGUAAACUCCUCUAAAACCUAAUAAUCCUACAACUACCCCAACAGGUCAACAGGGGGACAAGGCAGUCAAAGGCAUCACUGCAGCAAGCAAGAUUUAAACCUCCAUCAUGUCAUUGAUCCACCCCCAAAUGCCCUCUCCUGCGGGUUCCUCACGGCAAGGCAGAAUUUUUAUCAUCUUGCAGUUGCACUGAACCUUGCCAAAAGAAUCAGCAAAGGAAGGGUACAUGGAAAUCACUGUCCUUGCAUUUAGUGGUGCCUGUUCUGCAGUAACGCUGGAUCCGGCUGAGGGAACAUGAAGAAUUUAUGAAGACGCACACCCGUCUCGUGUGAUGAGAAGACAUAUUUUAACAAAGAUAACCAGCCCCCUUCCGUAUGCUGAAGAGAAGCAGAAGUCUUCCCUAAAGACUGUGAUCUUUAACCCCAAGAGCUUUUCUAGGAAGGUUGGCCCAACAGGGUUCGUGGUCUGCCAGCUGUGCACCUACUGCAGAGACGAAAAGUACCCUGCAGAGCUGGCAUGCCCUGUGUGACUCCAGAGCUCAAGAAAGGUGAGGGAGAAGGACUCACAGCAACUGGGAAGUUCCCACGGAUGAGACAGAGUAUCUGGAGUGAAGAAAAGGACUAAAAGGACUUGGAAAAAACGACUAUGAGAUAAGAGAAGGAAAAGAAAAGCUGAAUUUGCACUUUGGAAGAAAAGGGAUGAUAACAAAAGAAGUAGGCAAGUGACAGCCUCUAAUUCCUAGACUGCUCCAAACGUACAGAUCACAUGAGCUGGCAAGCACGGAGACGCGGUGGCGUCGCAGGGCUGGUGGGUCCGGUCCCACGGACCCGGCGGAAGGAGCAGUGAGACGCGGGUACCCGCUGCCUCCCCUGGCCCAGCUGCUUGGCCUGGCGGCUCCCUGAAAGGCAUCGCCCUGAUUUGCUGUUUGAAAUGUUAUUAACGAACACAAACAGAAAGCAGAGAUACAGGUUCUGGACAGUUUUUGUUGCUGCCAUUGAACCAGCUUUGGACAUUUACGGGAAUCCAGUGACAGAUGCUCAUAAUUUAUUGGAACAGAGCUUUGACAGCUUGAAAACAACUCAUUGACCUCGCCUAAGGAUCAAAAAGUAAUAAAAGCUGUUACAAACUAGCUGCCAUUAAGAAAGCAACAUUUAGUGAUAGUUAUGGUUGUUUAUCUGGUUCAAAGGUACAUCAGUUUUGGUUUUGCAGCUUUUCAUCAGAUCCCACUUAAUCUGCUCUUUAUUCCUGCAACUUUUCAGUGAAAUCCAGACAUCCCACCACUACCUGGGAUGUGGUAAUGCAUAUGCAGCCUCACAGGAACUCAGUGCUACUUAAUGUCUGGAUGAACUAAAACAAUGUGUUUGGCAGCUUUCCGCAAUACAUUUAUGAAAUCCUUUGAAAUGGGAAUUCCAUUAUAAUUCAGCGUGAUUGUAAAUACUUUAAAAUGUGGAAGCCUAAAUGGCAAAGGGAGUUGUCUGCUGUAGUUAGUGAUAAAUGUUCUGUGCAAUACGCUGGUUUUAGCUGCCCUGCUUCCCCAGUUCUCUGAGGAAUUAAGUAGUUAAAUUUAUGUGCAUAGUACUGAAACUGUUAAUGCUGAAUGUCAACCUCAGACCUGUUUUCUCCUAAAGUAUAGCAAAAAAAAAAAAACAAUGGAAAAACUCUCCCACACCUCAGUCUGGUAAGAGGAUUGCAAGUCAAGCAGAAAAUUUAAAACAUCUCUAGUUUUUCUAACCAACCUGUCACAUCCCAAUCUGUUGUGACAGGGCAGGAGGUGCAGCCAGACAGCGCAUUGGGGAAGGGGUCAGGACUUAGGCUCCUCUCUUUUUGACAGAGGUGACAGUGUGGGUACAGAGUGCCUGCCUGUGAGUGCCUGUGCUAACAAGGUGCUUUUUGUGAGCUGUCGAGGGCGGGUGGGACACAUGGGGCUUUCUGCCUUCUGCCAGGUCCCACGGUGGCCGCUGUCCUUCUUCCUCAUCUUAAUUUCCAGGUAAAAGCUCUGGACUCUGGACUUGUUUGUCCUUUUUGUGAAAAGGAUAGUCCUAACUGUAAGGUACAGACCUCUUUAAGUCCACGUUUACAGUUCCCAAAGCCUUAGCAUGGCCACUUAAAACUGCUCGUGGUGAGGAGAAAGCGAAGAUGCGCGGUAGCUUAUGCAGCUGCCCAUUUCUACGCAGAGGUCCAGGCAGCCGGCUUGUCACAGGACUGCAUUGGCCACACUGUUUCCUUAGCUAAAGCGUGUGAAUUUGGUGUGUGACCCUGAAUAAGCCUUAGGGUGUGUCAGUGCAAGGAUGAAGCAUGGGUCCUUCCUGCAAAGGCCACGUACAAAGCCAGAGGGACUAGCCAGGAGCAAAGCACACCUGAGGGGCCUGAGCUUCCCCCUGGCCUGGGAGCUGAACGGUUUGAUCACUCCUGACCUCAAACAGGAAUGAGCUUCACCUGUGUGGGGAGGCCAGCUCAGGUGCCAGCAAUCUCUUCUUGAGGAGAGACAGGUAAAGGAAACAGGCAUAGGUAGGAGUAGCUUUUAUUUCUGUAUGGCUCCCUCAGGCUCCUCUCCUCUGGCUGGGGGUGACUUGGGGAGAAGGAGUUACAUGCAGCGCUGGAAACAGUCCUUGGUGGCACUGCUUCCCUUGAAGAGAGAUUGCCAGGGUGAGUUUAUGAAGUUACCCUACUUUUUCUAGGUUAUAAAUUUGAUCAGGAGAGUAUGUUGCUCCUGAAUCUGAGCUUUAAGGAGGUGAAAAACUGUCAUAUGUAAAGAUGAAGUGAGUUACCCAGGUUUAUUUGGGGCUUCUGGAAAGUGAGAGGUUCAGGAGAGGGUGUGCUUACUGGUGGGCCUCUUUUCUAUAAUGUUUUAAGAGGCCCCUUCUUACAGAUUAGCUGAUUUCCUUGCCUCUGGCUUUAUUUAAAUGAGCAAAUUUUCUGACUGCACCUGGAAAAAGAGCUGGAAGCUCUCUGUAAAAUAUGAGCAAAUGAACGCAUGCAUCGUGUAUCUUAAGCUACUUUUUGAGCACUAAUGACAGAAACUGUAAUAAGGGCAAAUGUUCCUUUACAGAAUCUAUGUACGUAGCACCAUGCUGCCAGCUGACCUGAGCGUGUUCCUGCAGCAGAGCCUGAGGUUAAUGCUGAACAAGCCUGGUGCAAUACUGACAGACCUCAGUUUUCUUGGAAGCAGUACUGUAAAAAGGGAAGCUGUGUACUAAUUGCUGUAAGACUUUAUAAAAAAUAGGGGGGAAGGGAGAUGCUUGCAUUAUUUACGCAAAGCUGGCUGUAAUAGAGCUUCAUGAGUGUGCUUGGGUGGGCCCUUGGGACCUCUCUAGCCUCCAGCUAGAAGCCAGAGAGAGCUCAACACAUCGACGUGGAGAAGAGGCUUUCCUUCCCCCACUGCCUCUGGUCUGCAGUCUGCUCAGAGACAGUAACAGCUCUGAGUUCUGCUACUGCUAUGUGCUGCUAUUUGCUGUUACUGCAUCAAUGGGGUUAUGUGAUGGUUUUGUUGGUUUUUUUUUUUUUGACGUUAUAUGGUACUUUGACUACCUUUCUGUUCUUAUUUGGCUAGGGCAGUCCCAGGCUGUUUUUACUUUCACCUCCAGAGCUCAAAUGUGUGAUGCAGAGUGUUUUAACUUGUGUACCCUUUCGCUACCUUGCAAUUGAGGUUUAUGUUUAAAAAAGGGCUUUAAAAGGCCAAAACACUUUUUUCCUAUUUGACAAGCUGGUCAAGGGCUGAAGUUAAAAUGUGAAUCAAUGACUUCCGAUUCAAAUAGAACCAAAAUUUACACGGAGGUACAUUAAGCUCCCUUUUAACUGUCUUUGGAGUUAAAUGGGGUUGAGUACAGUAUGAAGUAUCACAAAUUCUAAUACUUCAAUAGGUUUUUUUAUCCCUUAUGAGGAGUAAAUCUUGAAAUAUUCAAUCCACUGAAAAGAUUCUCCCAAAGCUUUAAAACUAGAGAUAAUGAUUUGGUUUUCAAAUUCUUGAUUGGAAUUGAACAUAAAUACUUUGUUUCAAUUUUAUAAGGCAUGCCUUUAUUUCCAGCCCCUGCAAACCCUGUUUGUAAGUCUCUAAGUCUUUCAAUAUGAAAUUUACCGCAACUAUUCAUAAUUCUGAAUUAAAUGGAAGAGCUCAGGUGAUUCUCGGUUAGGCUGAGAACAGAGGGCAUUGUGAAUAGAAUAUAGAAUAUUUUAUUACUGUCAGAGCCUAAAUAACUUAAACUUUGAGAUAGCACAAGAACUUAUGUGACAAGGCUUAGUGAAUGCCUCAGAAUCAACAGAAAAGCUAAUCAGCUCAAAAAAAGGGGUGAAUGUAACUAGAGGUGUAGAGGGGGUAAUGAGGAGAGUAGAGGAGGCUGUCGGGUGUGUGAGCAAAGCAGUUCUGAGAUGCAUCAUGAGUGGAAAGCCCUACUGAAAUCCAAGUUUCUAUGCCCUUUCCUUCUUCUGCCCAUUUUCUUCUUGUCAUAUUUCUACAGUGAUGUUUCAGGCUAGUUGUAUAUAAUUGAAGAGAUUAGAAAAAGUGAGAAAAAUUCUGCAUUGACAUGCACCUCCACUGACAUCAAACAGACUGCAUACCUUGUGUCUCUCCUGCUUUAAGUUCCCUUUUAAAAAAAAAAAAAACACAGUUUAAGGAAGAGUUGCUAUUG